rnacentral:rRNA from 1 species
UACGUAGGGUGCAAGCGUUGUCCGGAAUUAUUGGGCGUAAAGAGCUCGUAGGCGGUCUGUCGCGUCUGCUGUGAAAACUCAGGGCUUAACCCUGAGCUUGCAGUGGGUACGGGCAGACUAGAGUGCGGUAGGGGAGACUGGAAUUCCUGGUGUAGCGGUGAAAUGCGCGGAUAUCAGGAGGAACACCGGUGGCGAAGGCGGGUCUCUGGGCCGUAACUGACGCUGAGGAGCGAAAGCAUGGGGAGCGAACAGG